GUCUGAACAUCACCUUGUGUUGUACAAGAAAAUCGGACAGGGUCGAUCGGUACACAGCCUCUCUCUCUUAUCCAUCUCUACUUACGCUUGUUCAAAUCUGUUUGAUCAGCCGCGAAUCUGUACUAUACAUGCACACUGAUCCACCGCAAAUUGCAGUUUCUAAUGCCUCAAGAAAAUGAAGCAAAGUGUUCGAUCGCGGUCGUGGUCAUGGCAGCUCAGGCUCACAAGGUGACCUUCUCCAUCUCGCGGCGGAGGGCGGUGGCGCGGACGAGGCUGCCGAUGGUGUUGACGGCGAGCUUGAUGUCGUCGAGCGGGUUGCCCGGCACGACGCGCUUGUAGAGGUAGCUGUCGAAGGUCAUCCUCUGGACGUAGUCGUCGGCGCACAUCUCGACGAACGCCUCGCGGGCGGCGUUGGAGCGGUAGAACACCUUCUGGAGCACGUCGAGCACCUUGUACGUCGGCCAGUAGAGGCGGUCGAACUCGGCCAGGUACCUGCGCAGGUCGCUCUCCUCCACCAUCCGCGUCCCGUUCGCCGACCCGGCCACGAUCGCCUCCGCGCACAUCCGCCCGCUCUUCGCCGCGAAGUAGAUCCCCUCGCCGGAGCACUUUGUCACGUACCCCGCCGCGUCCCCCACCAGCGUCACCCUCCCCGCCACCCUCUUAGGCCUCGGGUGCUCGGGGAUGGGGUGAGCCUCGACGCGGAUGAUCUUGCCGCCCUCGAUCCGGUCCUUGGCGCGAAGGCGGGUGGCGGCCUGGAACUUCUUGAUGUCGGGCUUGUGGGUGACGGUGCCGGUGCCGACGGCGACGUGGUCGCACUUGGGGAACACCCAGCCGUAGAAGUCCGGCGAGACGUCGUCGCCGACGUACAUCUCGGCGCGCUCCUCGUAGUACUUCAUCUUGUCGUCGGGG
rnacentral:misc_RNA from 1 species